GUGGGGAAUAUUGCGCAAUGGGCGAAAGCCUGACGCAGCGACGCCGCGUGAGGGACGAAGGCCUUCGGGUUGUAAACCUCUUUCAGCAGGGACGAAGCGAAAGUGACUGUACCUGCAGAAGAAGCACCGGCUAACUACGUGCCAGCAGCCGCGGUAAUACGUAGGGUGCGAGCGUUGUCCGGAAUUAUUGGGCGUAAAGAGCUCGUAGGUGGUCUGUCACGUCGGAUGUGAAAACUCGGGGCUCAACCCCGAGCCUGCAUUCGAUACGGGCAGACUAGAGUUCGGUAGGGGAGACUGGAAUUCCUGGUGUAGCGGUGAAAUGCGCAGAUAUCAGGAGGAACACCGGUGGCGAAGGCGGGUCUCUGGGCCGAUACUGACACUGAGGAGCGAAAGCGUGGGGAGCGAACAGGAUUAGAAACCCUAGUAGUCC
rnacentral:rRNA from 1 species